rnacentral:rRNA from 1 species
ACGGGGCAGCAGUAGGGAAUUUUCGGCAAUGGGGGAAACCCUGACCGAGCAACGCCGCGUGAAUGAUGAAGUACUUCGGUAUGUAAAAUUCUUUUAUAAGGGACGAACGGUCUGAAUAGGAAAUGAUUCAGAAUUGACUGUACCUUUUGAAUAAGCCCCGGCUAACUACGUGCCAGCAGCCGCGGUAAUACGUAGGGGGCAAGCGUUAUCCGGAAUUAUUGGGCGUAAAGGGUGCGUAGGCGGUUUGUUAAGAUUGAGGUGAAAGUGCGGGGCUCAACCCCGUGAUGCCUCGGUUACUGGCAGACUAGAGUGUGGUAGAGGCAAGUGGAACUCCAUGUGUAGCGGUAAAAUGCGUAAAUAUAUGGAAGAACACCAGUGGCGAAAGCGGCUUGCUAGGCCAAGACUGACGCUGAGGCACGAAAGCGUGGGGAGCAAACAGGAUUAGAUACCCUGGUA